rnacentral:rRNA from 1 species
AACGAACGCUGGCGGCAUGCCUAACACAUGCAAGUCGAACGAGACCUUCGGGUCUAGUGGCGCACGGGUGCGUAACGCGUGGGAAUCUGCCCUUGGGUUCGGAAUAACAGCGAGAAAUUGCUGCUAAUACCGGAUGAUGACGUAAGUCCAAAGAUUUAUCGCCCAAGGAUGAGCCCGCGUAGGAUUAGCUAGUUGGUGAGGUAAAGGCUCACCAAGGCGACGAUCCUUAGCUGGUCUGAGAGGAUGAUCAGCCACACUGGGACUGAGACACGGCCCAGACUCCUACGGGAGGCAGCAGUGGGGAAUAUUGGACAAUGGGCGAAAGCCUGAUCCAGCAAUGCCGCGUGAGUGAUGAAGGCCUUAGGGUUGUAAAGCUCUUUUACCCCGGGGAUUGAUAAUGACAGUACCGGGAGAAUAAGCUCCGGCUAACUCCGUGCCAGCAGCCGCGGUAAU